GGUUCCCACAGCUCAGUGGUAGAGCAUCUGCCUUUUGCAUGCAGAAGGUCCCUGGUUCAUUCCCCGAUAUCUCCAGGUAGGACUG